AACGAACGCUGGCGGCAGGCUUAACACAUGCAAGUCGAGCGCCCCGCAAGGGGAGCGGCAGACGGGUGAGUAACGCGUGGGAACGUGCCCUUUGCUACGGAAUAGCUCCGGGAAACUGGAAUUAAUACCGUAUGAGCCCUUUGGGGGAAAGAUUUAUCGGCAAAGGAUCGGCCCGCGUUGGAUUAGCUAGUUGGUGGGGUAAAGGCCUACCAAGGCGACGAUCCAUAGCUGGUCUGAGAGGAUGAUCAGCCACAUUGGGACUGAGACCCGGCCCACACACAGACGGGAGGCAGCAGUGGGGAAUAUUGGACAAUGGGCGCAAGCCUGGUCCAGCCAUGCCGCGUGAGUGAUGAAGGCCUUAGGGUUGUAAAGCUCUUUCACCGGAGAAGAUAAUGACGGUAUCCGGAGAAGAAGCCCCGGCUAACUUCGUGCCAGCAGCCGCCGUAAAAC
rnacentral:rRNA from 1 species